rnacentral:rRNA from 1 species
GGGUCAGUAGGUUGGUCGUGCCACCGGUACGUACUGGUCACACCGAUUCCUCCUUCCUGAAGAACCGUAAUGCCAUUAAUUUGGUGUUGCGGGGAAACAGGACUGUUACUUUGAAAAAAUUAGAGUGUUUAAAGCAAGCUAACGCUUGAAUACAUUAGCAUGGAAUAAUGAAAUAGGACGAUCGAUCCUAUUUUGUUGGUUUCUAGGAUUGACGUA